rnacentral:rRNA from 1 species
CAGUAGCCGCGGGAAUACGGAGGGGGCUAGCGUUGUUCGGAAUUACUGGGCGUAAAGCGCACGUAGGCUGCUUUGUAAGUCAGAGGUGAAAGCCCGGGGCUCAACCCCGGAUGUGCCUUUGAGACUGCAGGGCUAGAACGUCGGAGAGGUGAGUGGAAUUCCGAGUGUAGAGGUGAAAUUCGUAGAUAUUCGGAAGAACACCAGUGGCGAAGGCGGCUCACUGGCUCAUUCUAGACGCUGAGGUGCGAAAGCGUGGGGAGCAAACAGGAUUAGAUACCCGGGUAGUCCCUGUCUCUUAUAA